AGUACCUCGAAGCCGGGACCUUACCGACCGCGAAGGAAGCUCAAGCUGUUGCUGAUGAUGUCUUCUCUCUGUUUAUAAGCGAGGAAGUCGACAAAGUCGAGCUCUUGUACACAAAGUUCGUGUCUCUUGUCAAGUCAGAACCCGUGAUCCACACGCUACUACCUCUAUCGCCUAAAGGAGAGAUCUGUGACAUCAAUGGGAACUGUGUGGACGCUGCUGAAGACGAACUCUUCAGGCUAACGACGAA
rnacentral:lncRNA from 1 species